GUCGGACGGGAUUCAGGGAGUAGCUUGCUACAAACUGAUGAGAGUGGCGCACGGGUGCGUAACGCGUGAGCAACCUACCCAUAUCAGGGGGAUAGCCUCUCGAAAGAGAGAUUAACACCGCAUAACAUCAUUUACCGGCAUCGGAUUAUGAUCAAAUAUUUAUAGGAUAUGGAUGGGCUCGCGUGACAUUAGCUAGUUGGAGGGGUAACGGCCCACCAAGGCUACGAUGUCUAGGGGCUCUGAGAGGAGAAUCCCCCACACUGGUACUGAGACACGGACCAGACUCCUACGGGAGGCAGCAGUAAGGAAUAUUGGUCAAUGGAGGGAACUCUGAACCAGCCAUGCCGCGUGCAGGAUGACUGCCCUAUGGGUUGUAAACUGCUUUUGUCAGGGAAUAAACCUUUCCACGUGUGGGAAGCUGAAUGUACCUGAAGAAUAAGGAUCGGCUAACUCCGUGCCAGCAGCCGCGGUAAUACGGAGGAUCCAAGCGUUAUCCGGAUUUAUUGGGUUUAAAGGGUGCGUAGGCGG
rnacentral:rRNA from 1 species